CCUCUUAACCUAGAUGCUUGUCAUCCCUGGUCUCAAACGCGCCUUUCUGCCUCUUUCCAGCUGAAGAGCGGCUUGCCAGAGGGACUGGAGCUGAUGUUUCCUGCAGCAGCUGAAAGUGGAGCGUGGGGUCAGGCUGGCCUGGGAUAACCCGGCGUGCAGGGCACAUCAAAGGCUUUGGAGACCGCAGCGCUCCACGCGCGCUCUCAUGGCGAUACCACCCCAAACCAAGGCUGAACGUGAACGUCAUGCUGAAUCAUGUGCGGAAUUGCAAAGAACCCUUCUUGCUAGAUUUUUUGUUUUUGGUUUUUUUUUUUUUUUUGCUUGCCACGUUUGGAAUAAGGAAUAGCAGAGAAUUGGAAUUUGACACACACAAGCCCUGGCAAAACCACAGGCAAGUCCAGAAAACAAAGGAUACCUCCCCUGUGGGGAAGGAAGCAGCAUUCCUCAUCCCUCCAGGCAACAACAGCUCCCUCGGUGAGAAGCCACCACAUUUGCAAUUCCAACUUGCCUGUGUUUCAGUCCUAACUUGUCUGGCAUUGGCAGUUCUCCUGUAUUCCUCCAAGAAACCCCCUUUUCCAGAGAAACGCAGGGAGGUGGGGAUUGUUAUAGAGGAAAAGCCCAUUGGCGUACACUGGGAGUUCCGCGUGUAA
rnacentral:lncRNA from 1 species